UACAGAGGUCUCAAGCGUUGUUCGGAUUCAUUGGGCGUAAAGGGUGCGUAGGCGGCGCGGUAAGUCGGGUGUGAAAUCUCGGAGCUUAACUCCGAAACUGCAUUCGAUACUGCCGUGCUUGAGGACUGGAGAGGAGACUGGAAUUUACGGUGUAGCGGUGAAAUGCGUAGAGAUGCGGAGGAACACCGAUGGCGAAGGCAGCCCCCUGGGCUGACACUGACGCUCAGGCACGAAAGCGUGGGGAGCAAACAGG
rnacentral:rRNA from 1 species